CCUACGGGAGGCAGCAGUGGGGAAUAUUGGGCAAUGGGCGCAAGCCUGACCCAGCAACGCCGCGUGAAGGCAGAAGGCUUUCGGGUUGUAAACUUCUUUUCUGAGGGACGACGAAAGUGACGGUACCUCAGGAAUAAGCCACGGCUAACUACGUGCCAUCAGCCGCGGUAAUACGUAGGUGGCAAGCGUUAUCCGGAUUUAUUGGGUGUAAAGGGCGUGUAGGCGGGAAAGCAAGUCAGAUGUGAAAACUCAGGGCUCAACCCUGAGCCUGCAUUUGAAACUGUUUUUCUUGAGUGCUGGAGAGGCAAUCGGAAUUCCGUGUGUAGCGGUGACAUGCGUAGAUAUACGGAGGAACACCAGUGGCGAAGGCGGAUUGCUGGACAGUAACUGACGCUGGGGCGCGAAAGCGUGGGGAGCAAACAGGAUUAGAUACCCUAGUAGUC
rnacentral:rRNA from 1 species